rnacentral:rRNA from 1 species
UACUAGAGUAGCACUCGCAUAUCAAUAAGCGGAGGAAAAGAAACUAACAAGGAUUCCCCUAGUAACGGCGAGUGAAGCGGGAAGAGCUCAAAUUUGAAAUCUUAAAGGGCUUCCCUUUACGAAUUGUAGUUUAAAGAAGUGUUUUCUGUUGAGGUUUUGGUAAAAGUUCUUUGGAAUAGGACAUCAUAGAGGGUGAGAAUCCCGUAUUUGACCUUUACUUUCAACUUUGUGAUACACUUUCAAAGAGUCGGAUUGUUUGGGAAUGCAGUCCAAAAUGGGUGGUAAAUUUCAUCUAAAGCUAAAUAUUGGCGAGAGACCGAUAGCGAACAAGUACCGUGAGGGAAAGAUGAAAAGAACUUUGAAAAGAGAGUUAAACAGUACGUGAAAUUGUCAAAAGGGAAGCGUUUGACACCAGUGUUGUUUUUCUGAAAAUCAAUUAAAGAACUGUUUAUGCUAAGCUGUUUAGACUUUAUCAGCUAUCUGUUUAGUUUUGAGCUUUUCUUUAAUGCACUUUUCAGUUAACAAGUCAACAUCAAUUUCUUUUGCUGUAAAAAGGCUUGAGGAAGGUGGCUUGAGAUUCGUCUUAAGUGUUUAUAGCCUCUUGCCUAUGCAGUCGGAGAGAUUGAGGUCUGCAGCGUAGAUCCUUCGGGGCUAAAUGCAUUUGUGCUAAGUUAUAGCAUUUUAUAGACAACUUGUUGACUAUGAUUUGUCUUGUAGCUUACUCGCUUAUGUUAUUUUACCUACGCUUAGGAUGUUGAGCGCAUGUCUCUCUCU